rnacentral:lncRNA from 1 species
CCCUUCCGCCAUCAAGUCGGCAAUGAUGACGACGGCGACUGACGUGGACAACAAGGGCGAGUCCAUCCUCAACGCAUCCUUGACGCCGGCCGGGCCCUUUGCCUACGGCGCCGGCCACGUGUGGCCAAGCCGCGCCAUGAACCCCGGCCUCGUCUACGACCUCGGCCCCGACCACUACCUCGACUUCCUUUGCGCGCUCAAGUACAACGCCACAGUUCUGUCCAUGUUCAACGGCGAGCCGUACAAGUGCCCCGAGAAGGCUCCCAAGAUCCAGGACCUCAACUACCCGUCCAUCACCGUCGUCAACCUCACGGCCUCCGGCGCAACGGUGAAGCGAACGGUGAAGAACGUUGGUUUUCCGGGCAAGUACAAGGCGGUCGUGCGCCAGCCGGCUGGCGUGCACGUGGCGGUGAGCCCUGAAGUGAU